rnacentral:lncRNA from 13 species
CCUUCUCUUGGGUAAACUCACUGGAUGUAAAAAGGUCAAAACAUCUUAGCAAUCUAUGUUUGCAAUCAACCAAAACAUACUUCUAUCAUCAGAUGUGUAAUGUGCAGUUCAUAAUAUGAGCUGUUAUUCAACCAUCACACUGUUUAAUGUUAGCAUCAUGUUACUUGAAAAUGUGUAUCUUCCUUAGCUUAUUCAUUUGAGUUUAAGUUUAAAAAAACAUGUAGGUCAUCAGAGGCCUUGUUAUUAUCCCAAAGUGUAUCUUAUAGAAUUAUCUAUAGCCAUAUCAUAUCAAUUUGAGAUCUUUUUCACCUGUGAAAUGUCUUUCUGCAGUAUUUCUCAAUAGUUUUUUUGUAUAUUGUACAUUGUAUUUAUUGCAUUUAUUUAUGUUUUUAUGCAUGUACAGUCAAUAUUGUCUCUUGCAAACUACAUCUUAUUUAUUACAGCUCAAGUAUAUCCAAACUGACCCUGAGAUGUUGUACCCUCACUCUAUUGAACUGCCAAGUGGUCAACAAUAACUGGAUCUGAGUUGUAGUACCCUCACUCUAUUGAACUGCCAAGUGGUCAACAAUAACUGGAUCUGAGUUGUAGUACCCUCACUCUAUUGAAUUAUCAAGUUGUCAACAAGUGAAUUAUAUAAUUUCUCAAAUCUUCUUUCUGGUGCAAACACGAGUUGGAUAAAAAAAAAAAGGAAUUUGUAAUGCCAUCCAAUGUUGUUAUGUAAUGUUGUUUAUCUCUUGUCCCAUCCUCGAUAUUGACCUGAUAGAUCAGCUUUAAUAUUGCAGACAGAUUGUGGCUUCCAUCAAUGUAAUUGUCUGUAUAAUUUCCAAUCCUCCAUAUAUUUUAUUGUAAAUAUAUAAAAUAUACAUUUUAUUUUUUAAAUAUAUUUUCCUUUAUUAUUUUGCCCUAACCCUACCACCCCUCCCCUAAUUGGAGAAAACGAAUGGACAACAACACUUAGGCUUCUACUUCCAGCUUAGUCAUACUAUAAAAAAAAGCAUUUGUAAUGCUGUCCAAUGUUUUUUUUACCUUUAUUUAACUUGGCAAGUCAGUUAAGAACAAAUUCUUAUUUUCAAUGACGGCCUAGGAACAGUGAGUUAACUGCCUGUUCAGGGGCGGAACGACAGAUUUGUACCUUGUCAGCUCGGGGAUUUAGUCCAACGCUCUAACC